rnacentral:lncRNA from 1 species
GCAACACAUAGGUAGAUUGAAAAAGGGAAAGCAGGCAUGCCAUUUUCAGCACACAAAUACUCCGUCACAAGAUGCUGACAAGAGCAGUACCACAAAUGGUCAUCAUCCAACACAAAAGGCUCAGGAAAAAUGAUUCUAUCAUCUGAAAGCAAAGUCAAUCCUUAAAGAUGAGCUAAUAAAACAAUACAUCGAAGUGAAAGAUGAGUAAGAAGAACGGAAGAUAAAUAAGUAGACAGCACCCUGAGCCUAUUUCACGUUCGUCUGCGCUCUCGAGUCGAAAGUAAGCGAUGGCAACUAAAAGGUCAAACACUUCUAAGCGAAGCAGAAAAGGCCAAAAGCUUGAUAAAUUAAAAGGCACACUUUUCGCUUUCCUAGGGGAAUGUUGAGACAUUACAAUGGAUAAGCAACUCAGGUUUUCGAAUAUCUCUACUCAACAACACAGGAGUGCAAUUCUCCUAACUAGUUACUAGGCAUUGUACUUGAAUAAUGUCAUGCAUGAUGGAAACUAUUCACAUAUCAAUAUAUCACUAUUGGAAAAACUUAAACUUUAAAUCACCUACGAUGCAUGAUGGAAACUAUUCACAUAUCAAUAUAUCACUAUUGGAAAAACUUAAACUUUAAAUCACCUACGAUAACAGGAUACUGCUGAAUAUGUCCAUUAACCUAUUCGAAUUACUAUUUAGAUUUUAAAAAAAUUGUCCUUUUUCAUUGAUUAAUUGAUGACAAUUAACUUCAAGCAAAAGAAUCAGGAACAACAACUUCAGGGAAUUCUUAUACAAGUUUACCGAC